ACUUGAGGACCUGAAAGCUGUAUGUGAAGCUGUAACGCUAAGCAUCCAUCCAGAUGCUACAAAGCGGCCAUCGAUGAAGGAGUUGUGCACGAUGCUGGAAAGCCGAAUCGACACAUCGGUGUCUUAUGACUUCAAGGCAUCUUCAUUGGCAUGGGCUGAGCUUGCAUUGUCAUCACAAUAAUAGAUGAUUCAAAGGACUUUCUGGAGCUAACACACUUGUA
rnacentral:lncRNA from 1 species